UACGUAGGGGGCAAGCGUUGUCCGGAUUUAUUGGGCGUAAAGAGCGUGUAGGCGGUUAGAUAAGUCCGCUGUGAAAUCUCGAGGCUCAACUUCGAGCUGUCGGUGGAAACUGUCUGGCUAGAGUCCGGAAGAGGAGAAUGGAAUUCCUGGUGUAGCGGUGAAAUGCGCAGAUAUCAGGAAGAACACCCGUGGCGAAGGCGGUUCUCUGGGACGGUACUGACGCUGAGACGCGAAAGCGUGGGGAGCAAACAGG
rnacentral:rRNA from 1 species